rnacentral:lncRNA from 1 species
CUUCCAGAUAGUUAUCAGUUUCCCCCAUCCUUAUAAGCAAAUGCCACUCAUAUCAAGAAGAGGCUACAGUUUUGUGCCUUUGGCCAAUAGAAUGCAAUGAAAGUGACAUUCUGGGACAUCCAAAUCAAGGCCCUAAUAGAACAGGCAGCUUCUGCUUCUUGUCUUUCAGAGCCCAGCCUCCACGCUCUAAUGAAGUCCAAACCAAACUAGCGAAUGAUUAGAGAACACCCGAAGGGAGCUCCUGAAUGAGGAGAGUCCAUCUUGGCUGUUCCAGUCCCAUCUGAGCUCUUAGCAAAUUGUAGCCACUUGAGUGACCCAUGUAAGCUUCAUGGAGGACAAAAGUGCUACCUUGCUGAGCCCUGCCCCAAUUCCUGACCCACAGAAUUGUAAUAAAUAAUUGUUUUUAUUUUAUUUUAUCAAGUUUGGGGCUGUUGAUUACAAGACAAUGGAUCACUGACACAAUGUACACGAGUGUUGGGGACAGGGAGCAGAAAUAUGGAGAUGGGAAACUGGCUCGAUUAACGAUGGGUUAAGGCAAAAAUGAGUAGAGGAAGAAGGCAUAGAAUACUGAGAUUAGGAAUUGAGCAGUGAAAGUACAAAGUUAAUCUGCUACAAAUAAGGACUAGAUUUGAGUUGUAGGUUUGAUUGUUUCUAGGCCAGAGCAAGUUGAGCGUGCUUGCAGAAAGGAGCCGAGGAUUGAGGAGUACUCGGUCAUCUCCAAUUUCACUUUUAAUCUUCAAAAUGUUCAAAGGACUUUCCCCACACAGUUUUGCCUAAACAGCAGAAGCCUAAUAUGGCCCAAUUCUAGACGCUCUGGUUCUUUGCCUCUUAGCUGUGAGUUUUCUCAAUUCAUUUUUCUCUUUGUUCAGGAUAAGUUUUUCAGCUAAAAGUUCCUUAUGUCUUUUAGAGGUGACAUAACCAUUUUUAGUAAAUUGCCAUAUUUAUUUAUUGACCUCUCAUUCCUUAAAUGCUUUAAGAUGACUCCGGUCUAGCUCUCAUGGUUCCAAAAAUUCAAAUCAUAAUUGUUAGCCCCAGCUACAAAGCCCACUUUUUGGUCCAAGGAGUGUACAGACGUGAACAAGUGCUACGUUAUGUCUCUGUGCUUUUUUGCACAGUGUUUCCUAAACAUUCUAGACCCCAGAAAUUGCUUCUCCUCCUCCCUUUCCUAUCUUACACAAACAUGCAUUAGGGAAAAUUCACACUCAUGUUUGAAAACUAAAGACAGAUGUUGCCUCCUUGAAUCCUGUCUUGCAAGCUGCCAGGUAUUUUUACUGUGCUUUUUAUAUGCUUCUCUCCUCCAACAUUUUGCGCGUAUAUGUUUCUCCUCUAUAAGUCUGGGACCUCCACAAGGGCAGUCUUUCGUCUUAUUCCUCUAAGCGCAGUAUUUAGCUUGGUUCCCAGCGCACAAAAUUGUUCAAUAAUAUCAACUAAUAAAUGAACCUAUGAUCUGGUACGAGAAUCUGUGACAUUAUGCUCUUGUAUGAGUCAUCUACCAUCCCAAUGCAUGAGCAGUUCCUCAUCUCGAGCUUGAAAGGAAGCGAUUGCCUCUUGCCCCUGUCUACCCUACGCAGCUUUUCUGAAGUUUAACCAGUUAAUCAUCAUAAAACACUCAGAAGACAAGGGAUAUGGAACAAUGCCAGAUGGUAACAAAAUCCCAAGGCAUCUCGAGGAGACUUGCCAAUCAGCGAAAAGUCAUGGAACGCCGCUUCAAGCACCAGAUAUUCUGACAGCUGCAGAAUCUUGCCUGUAAAUUAUGCUGGUGUCAGGGAUCCUGGGGGCUCAGCUAUGCGUCCUGCUGAUUGAUGUUCACAGUCUCAGCUCCGCUAGCACCUGUUUGGGUGUAUCAUUGAAAGGUGAACACGUAACACCGCUGCACUUGGCUCUGCUAUUCAAUUUCACAUGUGUUCUUUAUUUAUCUACAACAGUUGCAAACCUUUUAUAGUUGUGAACUCUAACAUCACAGGAAUUCAAGGCUGUGAUUGUCUAGGACAGGCUGACAUUAGCCCUGGAAUGUGGUGGUCAAUUCUUGUCAUGUAGUCCCACUUUGAAUAAUCAGAUGUUGGAUGAAAAGCGAAUAUUGCUGUUUAAAUGCAAGUAAACAUCCAAACAGCAUACACAAAUGCACCUUCUAAAAUUUUCCACAUUUUCCAAUAUUUCCACUUUCCAAUAUUUUCCAAAAUUUACCACAGCAGUGGACGCUCUCACCUCCAUUUAAGCCACUCCAGCUGAUGCUGCAAGGGGCAGAGGCGAAGUGGUUCCAUCAAGUCCUGCCCAAACUGAAGAUUCAAGA